AACGAGGCCGACCUGCGGCUGAGUUACCUGCGGAGGGAUCAUUACAGAGUUGCAAAACUCCCUAAACCAUUGUGAACGUUACCUAAACCGUUGCUUCGGCGGGCGGCCCGGGUCCUUCCCGGCGCCCCUCGGCCCUCGCGGGCGCCCGCCGGAGGUAAACCAAACUAUUGCAUUGUAUGGCCUCUCUGAGUCUUCUGUACUGAAUAAGUCAAAACUUUUAACAACGGAUCUCAGAUCGGA
rnacentral:misc_RNA from 1 species